rnacentral:rRNA from 2 species
UGGGGAAUAUUGCGCAAUGGGGGCAACCCUGACGCAGCAACGCCGCGUGCGGGACGAAGGCCCUCGGGUUGUAAACCGCUUUCAGCAGGGAAGACAUCGACGGUACCUGCAGAAGAAGCCCCGGCUAACUACGUGCCAGCAGCCGCGGUAACACGUAGGGGGCGAGCGUUAUCCGGAUUCAUUGGGCGUAAAGCGCGCGCAGGCGGGCCGUCAAGCGGGACCUCUAAUCCCGGGGCUCAACCCCGGGCCGGGUCCCGAACUGGCGGCCUCGUGUCCGGUAGGGGGAGGCGGAAUUCCCGGUGUAGCGGUGGAAUGCGCAGAUAUCGGGAAGAACACCGAUGGCGAAGGCAGCCUCCUGGGCCGCGACAGACGCUGAGGCGCGAAAGCUAGGGGAGCGAACAGG